CCUACGGGAGGCAGCAGUGGGGAAUAUUGCACAAUGGGGGAAACCCUGAUGCAGCGACGCCGCGUGAGUGAAGAAGUAAUUCGUUAUGUAAAGCUCUAUCAGCAGGGAAGAAAAUGACGGUACCUGAGUAAGAAGCCCCGGCUAACUACGUGCCAGCAGCCGCGGUCAUACGUAGGGGGCAAGCGUUAUCCGGAUUUAAUGGGUGUAAAGGGAGCGUAGACGGCCGUGCAAGUCUGGAGUGAAAGGCGGGGGCUCAACCCCCGGACUGCUCUGGAAACUGUACGGCUGGAGUGCAGGAGAGGUAAGUGGAAUUCCUAGUGUAGCGGUGAAAUGCGUAGAUAUUAGGAGGAACACCAGUGGCGAAGGCGGCUUACUGGACUGUAACUGACGUUGAGGCUCGAAAGCGUGGGGAGCAAACAGGAUUAGAUACCCCUGUAGUC
rnacentral:rRNA from 1 species